rnacentral:rRNA from 1 species
AGAUUCUCAAAUGAAUUGGCGGGGGGGCGCACAAGCAGCGGAGCAUGUGGUUUAAUUCGAAGCAACGCGAAGAACCUUACCUAGACUUGACAUCUCCUGAAUUACCCUUAACCGGGGAAGCCCUUCGGGGCAGGAAGACAGGUGGUGCAUGGUUGUCGUCAGCUCGUGUCGUGAGAUGUUGGGUUAAGUCCCGCAACGAGCGCAACCCUUAUUUUUAGUUGCUACCAUUUGGUUGAGCACUCCAAAGAGACUGCCCGGGUUAACCGGGAGGAAGGUGGGGAUGACGUCAAAUCAUCAUGCCCCUUAUGUCUAGGGCUACACACGUGCUACAAUGGUGAGAACAAAGAGACGCGAGACCGCGAGGUGGAGCAAAUCUCAUAAAACUCAUCCCAGUUCGGAUUGCAGGCUGAAACUCGCCUGCAUGAAGCCGGAGUUGCUAGUAAUCGCGAAUCAGCAUGUCGCGGUGAAUACGUUCCCGCCUCUUGCACACACCGCCCGAAUCUGAUCCCCGAU